rnacentral:tRNA from 1 species
UGACCCGCUGGUGCAAGGCCCGGAUGACCGCGGGCCGCGCUCUCGCCCGGGGGCUGCUGACCAUGGGCCUGGCGUUCGUCCCGCUGCUGGCCGCC